UAGUCCACGCCGUAAACGAUGGAUACUAGCUGUUCGGUUUUCGGACUGAGUGGCUAAGCGAAAGUGAUAAGUAUCCCACCUGGGGAGUACGUUCGCAAGAAUGAAACUCAAAGGAAUUGACGGGGGCCCGCACAAGCGGUGGAGCAUGUGGUUUAAUUCGAUGAUACGCGAGGAACCUUACCAGGGCUUAAAUGCAUAACGACAGGAGUGGAAACACUUUUUUCUUCGGACGGAAUGCAAGGUGCUGCAUGGUUGUCGUCAGCUCGUGCCGUGAGGUGUCAGGUUAAGUCCUAUAACGAGCGCAACCCCUGUUGUUAGUUGCCAGCGAGUAAUGUCGGGAACUCUAACAAGACUGCCGGUGCAAACCGUGAGGAAGGUGGGGAUGACGUCAAGUCCUCAUGGCCCUUAUGGGCUGGGGCUACACACGUGCUACAAUGGCGGUUACAGUGGGCAGCUACACAGUGAUGUGAUGCUAAUCUCCAAAAACCGUCUCAUUCGGAUUGUUCU
rnacentral:rRNA from 1 species